rnacentral:lncRNA from 1 species
UUGGAAACAAUUAAAAGUUGACUAGUCUGCAUUACUGCCUUUGGUAGCCAAAUACAUCUAAUAGUGAAUAAUACAUUUCUUUUUAUAUUUUAGGACCUGGGCUAUGCUCCUGAUUUUAUACAGACUGCCAUGGCUCCAGAUAUAAAAGACCAAAUAAAAAGAGAUCGGCAAGAGGGAGGGACCAAGAUGGCUGACCAGAAGCAGCUGCAGUUGGAGGCUCCCACUAAGAAGAAAAAGGAUUAAGACCCAAACGUUGUUGAAAAAGGCUCAGAUCCUACAAGACACUGAC